ACACGGACCAAGGAGUGCAAGAGGCGUGCGAGUCUUUGGGUUGUUUCCAAACCCGCGGGCGUAAUGAAAGUGAAGGGAGCUGUUGCUUCCGAGGCGAGAGCCAUGCAGCCUUGCUGGCGCAUCGUCGACCGAUCCCGGGCUACGCUGUGGCGGGAUUCGAGUGAGAGCGUGCCUGUUGCGACCCGAAAGAUGGUGAACUAUGCCUGAAUGGGGCGAAGCCAGAGGAAACUCUGGUGGAAGCUCGCAGCGGUUCUGACGUGCAAAUCGAUCGUCAAAUUUGGGUAUAGGGGCGAAAGACUAAUCGAACCGUCUAGUAGCUGGUUCCCUCCGAAGUUUCCCCCAGGAUAGCUGGAGCCCGGUGCAGUUUUAUCAGGUAAAGCGAAUGAUUAGAGGUCUUGGGGUUGAAACAACCUCAACCUAUUCUCAAACUUUAAAUGGGUAAGAAGCUCGGCUUGCUCGGUUGAAGUCGGGCGUGGGAAUGCCGGGGCUCCUAGUGGGCCAUUUUUGGUAAGCAGAACUGGCGAUGCGGGAUGAACCGAACGCCGGGUUAAGGUGCCGGAAUCGACGCUCAUCAGAUCCCAUAAAAGGUGUUGGUUGAUUCAGACAGCAGGACGGUGGCCAUGGAAGUCGGAAUCCGCUAAGGAGUGUGUAACAACU
rnacentral:rRNA from 1 species